rnacentral:rRNA from 1 species
CGUAGGGUGCGAGCGUUGUCCGGAUUUAUUGGGCGUAAAAGGGCUCGUAGGUGGUUGAUCGCGUCGGAAGUGUAAUCUUGGGGCUUAACCCUGAGCGUGCUUUCGAUACGGGUUGACUUGAGGAAGGUAGGGGAGAAUGGGAAUUCCUGGUGGAGCGGUGGAAUGCGCAGAUAUCAGGAGGAACACCAAGUGGCGAAGGCGGUUCUCUGGGCCUUUCCUGACGCUGAGGAGCGAAAGCGUGGGGAGCGGAACAGGCUU